GGUUCUAUGGUGUAAUGGUUAGCACUCUGGUCUUUAAAUCCAUUGGCCUGAGUUAAAACUUCAGUAGAACCU
rnacentral:tRNA from 1 species